rnacentral:lncRNA from 1 species
UGAUGGGGUUAAUUGAAAACAUGGAAAAAGUGGAAAUGUAUAAGAGAGAACAAACUCCUCCAUUUCUUACUUAAAGUUAUAGUUUGGAUUCUCUAUUGUGUGUGUUUUGCAAUGUUAAAAGCUAUACAAGUAUAUUGAACAUUAGAUCAUCUUUUAUCAAUAAUAACUUUAACUUGGGAUACAUGAUGUUAACUGAUUUAAUCAUUUCCCCAUAAAAUUGAAAUGAUUGGGCAGGUUUGCUAGAUAAACCACCUUAAUUCUAGAAAUAUCUUAUAACAAAACAAGGCCUUAAGUAUUUUCUUUAUUGUAGA